UGCAAGUCGAACGAAGUAGCAAUACUUAGUGGCAGACGGGUGAGUAACAUGUGGGUAUCUACCCUUUGGCCUGGAAUAACACGAGGAAACUUGUGCUAAUACCGGAUAAGUCUUUACGGAGAAAGCUUUAUGCACCAUUGGAUGAGCCUGCACUUGAUUAGUUUGUUGGUGGGGUAAUGGCCUACCAAGACUGUGAUCAAUAGCUGAUUUGAGAGGAUGAUCAGCCACAUUGGGACUGAGACACGGCCCAAACUCCUACGGGAGGCAGCAGUGGGGAAUCUUGCACAAUGGAGGAAACUCUGAUGCAGCGAUGCCGCGUGAGUGAAGAAGGCCUUUGGGUUGUAAAGCUCUUUCGUCGGGGAAGAAAAUGACUGUACCCGAAUAAGAAGGUCCGGCUAACUUCGUGCCAGCAGCCGCGGUAAUACGAAGGGACCUAGCGUAGUUCGGAAUUACUGGGCUUAAAGAGUUCGUAGGUGGUUGAAAAAGUUAGUGGUGAAAUCCCAGAGCUUAACUCUGGAACUGCCAUUAAAACUUUUCAGCUAGAGUAUGAUAGAGGAAAGCAGAAUUUCUAGUGUAGAGGUGAAAUUCGUAGAUAUUAGAAAGAAUACCAAUUGCGAAGGCAGCUUACUGGAUCAUUACUGACACUGAGGAACGAAAGCAUGGGUAGCGAAGAGGAUUAGAUACCCUCGUAGUCCAUGCCGUAAACGAUGUGUGUUAGACGUUGGAAAUUUAUUUUCAGUGUCGCAGCGAAAGCGAUAAACACACCGCCUGGGGAGUACGACCGCAAGGUUAAAACUCAAAUGAAUUGACGGGG
rnacentral:rRNA from 1 species